rnacentral:lncRNA from 1 species
AAAAAGUUUUCAGAGUAGUUAAAAUUGGUGUCUUAACAGCUAUGCAUGGAAAGGUCAUGUAUUAUACCCAUGGAGAAAUACUUGAGCCUAUUUUUUUUUCUCCCACACAGUUCCAACAAACUCGGCUAUCUGGUUUCUCCACCACAACAAAUUAGAAGAGGGGAGAGGAGCUGCUACAGAAGUAUAAACCGUGGGCGACACCACAGCGAAAGAUCACAGAGGACUCAAGGCCCGUCACUACCAGCAACUCCAGUCUUUGUACCUGUUCCACCACCUCCUUUGUAUCCGCCUCCUCCCCAUACACUUCCUCUCCCUCCGGGUGUUCCUCCUCCACAGUUUUCUCCUCAGUUUCCUCCUGGCCAGCCACCACCUGCUGGGUAUAGUGUCCCUCCUCCAGGGUUUCCUCCAGCUCCUGCCAAUUUAUCAACACCUUGGGUAUCAUCAGGAGUGCAGACAGCUCAUUCAAAUACCAUCCCAACAACACAAGCACCACCUUUGUCCAGGGAAGAAUUCUAUAGAGAGCAGCGACGACUAAAAG